AGUGAACGCUGGCGGUAGGCCUAACACAUGCAAGUCGAACGGCAGCACAGGAGAGCUUGCUCUCUGGGUGGCGAGUGGCGGACGGGUGAGGAAUACAACGGAAUCUAUUCUGUCCUGGGGGAUAACGUAGGGAAACUUACGCUUAUACCGCAUACGACCUACGGGUGAAAGCAGGGGAUCUUCGGACCUUGCGCGAUUGUAUGAGCCGAUGUCGGAUUAGCUAGUUGGCGGGGUAAAGGCCAACCAAGGCGACGAUCCGUAGCUGGUCUGAGAGGAUGAUCAGCCACACUGGAACUGAGACACGGUCCAGACUCCUACGGGAGGCAGCAGUGGGGAAUAUUGGACAAUGGGCGCAAGCCUGAUCCAGCCAUACCGCGUGGGUGAAGAAGGCCUUCGGGUUGUAAAGCCCUUUUGUUGGGAAAGAAAUCCAGCUGGCUAAUACCCGGUUGGGAUGACGGUACCCAAAGAAUAAGCACCGGCUAACUUCGUGCCAGCAGCCGCGGUAA
rnacentral:rRNA from 1 species